AUUGAACGCUGGCGGCAGGCCUAACACAUGCAAGUCGAGCGAGCGGCGGACGGGUGAGUAAUGUAUGGGGACUGCCCGAUAGAGGGGGCUAACUACUGGAAACGGUAGCUAAUACCGCAUACUAUCGGAUAACCCAUAUGGGAUUAGCUAGUAGGUGAGGUAAUGGCUGACAUAGGCGACGAUCCCUAGCUGGUCUGAGAGGAUGAUCAGUCACACUGGGAGUGAGACACGGCCCAGACUCCGACGGAGGCAUCAUUGGGGAAUAUUGGACAAUGGGCGAAAGCCUGAUGCAGCAAUGCCGCGUGUAUGAAGAAGGCCCUAGGGUUGUAAAGCACUUUCAGUCGGGAGGCGUUACCGACAGAAGAAGCACCGGCUAACUCCGUGCCAGCAGCCGCGGUAAUAC
rnacentral:rRNA from 1 species